UCUCUUAAAGGGGAAGCCGCCCACGAAGAAGGCCAAAGUUCUGCAGAAACAGCCGCUGAUGACCAAACUAGCCGCCUACGCUCAGCACCAAGCCAACCAGCAUGGUGGAGUCAAGAAGAGCGUGACCGUGGAUGUGUUUGACUGGGGUCGUUACCUUGGAGAUGGGGAUGUGAUGGGAGCGCCGGUCAGCUGCUUCAAACACGUCCUGAUGGGAGUCGUGGGCGGCGUCAGCGAAGCGUCCGAGUGGAA